GCCGAUGUGGUGGAAUGGCUUACACGAUCGCCUCAAAAGCGAUUGGGCUUCACGCCCAUGUGGGUUCGACUCCCACCAUCGGCA
rnacentral:tRNA from 2 species